rnacentral:rRNA from 1 species
GAGGAAUAAGCAUCGGCUAACUCCGUGCCAGCAGCCGCGGUAAUACGGGGGAUGCAAGCGUUAUCCGGAAUCAUUGGGCGUAAAGCGCCUGUAGGUUGUUUAAUAAGUCUGUUGUUAAAGACUAGGGCUCAACCCUAGGAAAGCAAUGGAAACUACUAGACUUGAGUAUGAUAGGGGUAGAGGGAAUUUCUAGUGUAGCGGUGAAAUGCGUAGAUAUUAGGAAGAACACCGGUGGCGAAGGCGCUCUACUGGAUCAUUACUGACACUCAGAGGCGAAAGCUAGGGUAGCAAAAGGGAUUAGAUACCCCUGUAGUCCUAGCCGUAAACGAUGGAUACUAGAUGUUGCGUUUAUUAUGCAGUAUCGUAGCUAACGCGUUAAGUAUCCCGCCUGGGGAGUACGCUCGCAAGGGUGAAACUCAAAGGAAUUGACGGGGGCCCGCACAAGCGGUGGAGCAUGUGGUUUAAUUCGAUGCAACGCGAAGAACCUUACCAAGGCUUGACAUACUACAAAUUUCUUUGAAAGAGGAAAGUGCCUUCGGGAAUGUAGAUACAGGUGGUGCAUGGCUGUCGUCAGCUCGUGUCGUGAGAUGUUGGGUUAAGUCCCGCAACGAGCGCAACCCUUAUUUUUAGUUGCUAAUUUAUUAGGUUUUCUAGAAAGACUGCCGGUGACAAACCGGAGGAAGGUGAGGAUGACGUCAAGUCAGCAUGCCCCUUAUGCCUUGGGCUACACACGUGCUACAAUGGUUAAGACAAAGAGUUGCGAGCUCGCGAGAGUCAGCUAAUCUCAUAAACUUAGCCUAAGUUCGGAUUGUAGGCUGCAACUCGCCUGCGUGAAG